GGAGCUACAAAUAAAGUUGUAAUGCUUCUCAAAUAAUAUAAAGGGGAUAAUUCAGGAGGGUUUAUUAACGUGCAUGGUACUAAAAAUUUAAUACUUAGUUUAAUUUGUGGAUGGGCUACAUCAAUGCUUGAGCACAAAACUGACAUGCAAACAGAUUCCAAGAAGAACACUUGCUAAUCAUCAUUUAUAUAUACUAUACUAAAAGGAAGAUAUCCUGAGUCCUAAAGCUAUCCACGUAGAAUUAAAAAAUCCACCAAUCAGCACAUUUCAUUUCUCUACAUCAGACAGGUUGGACUUUCGGUUUGGGCUUCGUUUGUUUUUUGCCAAAUUACACAAUCAGACACCAAAAUGAGUGGGCCUGAGCUUGAGGUUGAUUUGCUGUUUGCCCUAAACUUAACAACGUAUGGUUCUUCUUCUGAGAAGACGAGAUAUGGUUGAGACUAGACGUAGCUAUUCAGCUUCCAAGAGUUUCUAUACUUCUUCUUCAUCCCCUGAACUGUCUUCUCAUCUCCAGUCCCUACCAAGCGAUCUAAGGUCAAGAUCCAUGCUGCUAUUAAAUCCGCAUCGGCAGCGGAACCGACGGGGUCUUCGUCUGCGAGCGAGGUUCGUGUUGAGAAAUAAGGACCGGUUUUGGAUCCUGGAUUCGGAAUCUGAAGAGCCGGAGCUUGGAUCCUCUGAUCCGUAAGCUAUGGAUACGGAGAAGACUGUUUUAACUGAUGUGCCUGUUUUGGAGAUCUCUCUUGAAGCCGACACAAACCCUAAAGUUGAUGUCGUGCCGACACCUACAAUAGCAGGGGAAGUGGUGACGGAUGGUGAGAAGUCGAAGGCGGGGAAGAAUCGAGCUAAGGAUCCAUGGGCGAAGCUACUUUCUGAGUAUUCUCAGAACCCACACCGUAUCAUGAGGGGCGCUGUAUUCACUGUUAGAUGCCGAGGAUGUGAUUUAUCUAUCACACCAAUAUAUGCCCAGCGCCCUGUGUGAAAAUCAAGCAUUCUGAUGUAAGGACAUCUUAUUUGCUCCUUUUUGAUCUUAGUCUCUUUAAGAACAAAAGUUUUUUUCUAACGUAAUUAUCGUGUGGUUUACUUCACGGAUGAAUACAUUCAGAUUAUAACAUGGAGUUUAAACAAUGCAUCAAACUAGCUCCCAUUACCUUCAGAUGUCUUUUUUAAGAAAUGCGCUUAUAUUUUAAUUUUUAACUGACCAGCUACUUAAGAAAUCUCAAAUUUACUUAAGCAAAAUAAUUAAUGGAAUUUAAUUUCUUUAAGCCCAUUAAGCAAUGGAUGUAAACGUGAAACUUAGUUUAGAAGGGAAAGCCUUCGAAGCUUCAUCCGCUAUCUUACAGGCGUUUGAGUUCAAAGAAAACCUAAAGCUUCAACAAUUUAUGAAGCUCGCAUGCAUUUUAUGCACGUGCACACUUGCCAUCUUUAGCCAACUACGUGGCAAGGUUUCUUUGAUUCUGUCGAAGUCUAAGAAGCAUGAAGUUGGCAUGACUGGGAUAACCUUGGAGAUUAUUGAUGAUAUACACUGCCAUGUACUUUGUUAAUUGUUUUGUUCUUUUGGGAACUGUGUCUUUGUGCGUGUGUGUGUUUUCUUCUUAAAAAGGUUGGUGUUGUGUAUUUUUCAUUACCAAAAUGAUAUAAUUAUAUUAGUUCACUUAGUAAAAUACAAAUAGAGAGAAGUAAAUUUAUAACUUCAAAUUUACUUAUAGUUUAGGAUUUCCUCGACUUGAAUUCUCAAUUACAUUAUAUCUACUAUAUAAAAGGAACAGACUCCUAAGCUAUGACACAUCAACUAAAAUCUUUACAUCCAAUGAAAGUGCCACAUCACCAAAAUUUACAUGUCAUCGUCUAAUCCCACGAAAUCUGUAUCAUUUCCCUUCUCUAACGUUCCAGGUAUAACUCCUCCUAAAGGCAACCCAACAAUCCUAAAGGCAACCGUUCAGCAGCUCCGGCGUAAAACCACUUCGACUCUUGAAAGCCUUAUUUAAUAAUUAAACAUUUCAUUGACUUGGGAAUUAGUAGAGAGGCAACUGUUGAGGAUGUGGGGAUGAGUACGAGGAGGAAGAGGAGGCACUCUCCAUGCGAUUUGGCGAGAGAGGAAUAAGAUCACUCAUGGAGAUAAGCCUCUUCCUCUAGUGAGCUUGAAGAAGUUAAUAGAUAAGGGAGUAAGAAACAAGUUGAGUUUGAUAAGGGGUAAAGGUGUGAAGAAUAUGGAGGGGAUUCUUCAAUUUUGGUUUGAGACAAGAAUGUGAAUAUUUUAUAGUUUAAGUGAUGUUUUGAUGUAAAAAGGUCACACUUGAUGUACCAAGGCUUUUUGAUGAAUAAGAAUUUAACAUUCAUUCAAAAAAAAUAAUAAUAAUAAAACAUUUGAAUGGCAGACACCUCUUCGAUUUCCUCAGCUCCACCAUAAAAACUCAAGCUCCAAACCGUCAUUUGACCUUGAAGACUGGAACUGUUACUCAGGUCAAACAUUAUGGAACGGUCACAAGUCAGGGACUGAAGAGCUCUCAUCUUUCCCGGUGUCCCUUUGGAGCGGGAUAAAUUCUCCGUUCGUGUGGACUUGAAGGCAUAUGCAUUCCUAGUAAGAAGAUGGAGGAUGAAACUUGAAAUCUUUCAACCUAUUUUAUCAAUUCUUUUACAGCUGAUUGUAAUACAUAUAAACAUUUAAUACAAAUAGUUUCAAAUUUUUAUGAUAAAUUCUAAUGUAUAUAUGUAACAUGGUCAUAUCUAUAAUAAUAAUUUAGAGUUUUCUCUCACCUCCUUCAGCCACGUCCUUCUUUUGGUGUGCGCAUAUGUCGCCACGUGUCGGCGCUUAAUUGGUUACUUCUUUUUGUUUUUUUUCCAUUAUUCGGUUUGGGCUCCGGCGUCUUUUUAUUUUUUUUAUUAUCGCGGCCCAACUUGAAGCACGCCUAGGGUUUUCACGUCUCGUCUUCGUCUUCGUCUUCUACGUUCUCAUCAUCGACCGCGAGACGCAGAGAUUCGAGCCUGUUCAGUGUCCCUAACGCCUCCGAUUUUAAUAACUCUGCAACUUAACUCCACAUCACCCCUUUUAAUCCACUCCUUCCACUUUAAUUGCUCAAUCAAUACACCUCUUCGUAUUCCAUCGUACCCGGCUUAAUCCUCACCUAUAAAGAAGGACGGUAUUGUCAAUCUUCUCAAUUCCAUUUGUUAUACUUUAAAACUCUAAUGUAUCACUAACUCACUUUUUAACAUCGUUUAUUUGAAGGGAUACUACUGUAUGUGUUAGUAUCUUUGACUCCUUGGCCCUUGCAUUCCAUAGCAAGCUCGAUGUGUAUGGAAGAGAGCCAAGUUGGUUUCGGGAAAAUUAUAUUUGAAUGGCACUUCUGCGACACGUGUAUUUUUUUGACUCUGAAACUGCUGUAGGAGCAGAUGCAUUUGAAAGGCAAGCAUCCUUUCCCUUAUUUGAUAACACAAAUUUGACUUUUUUUUGCUAUUGAUUUGUCAUAAGCGUUUACAUGUUAUUAUCCUCGCAGAUUGCCAAGUGGUGAUACAGACCAGUCAGGGUCUUCAUCAAAGGUGGUUCACACACAAAAGAUUGAACCCAUGACGGUUUCAGAGCUUAACCAAUUUAUUUUCACGGCCGAUCCUCAGGUUUUUUUGUUUACAUGUUCUUAAUUUUACUCCUUCCUAGAUUGUACUUAAGAUUGUGAUUUUCUCUUGAUUUGACAGAUAAUUGAGUUUCUCUGUACGGCCAGGUGACUGAGAUUCAGCUUGAUGAGGGUUGGUGUUACAUUGGCUGCUCCACUUGCUCCAAGAAACUCAUCCGAGAGGAGACUUCAUUCACAUGCGUCCCAUGCAAUGAAACCAAUGCUGUGGCUAAACUCAAGUAAAUUAUUUUCGCUUUGUGCGUCUUGGUGGUUGUAAAAAAGUACUAAAUUUCAUUUCAAUCCGACAGGUAUCGUGUGAUUCUCUCCAUGUCAGAUGACACUGGUGCAGCAGCUUUCCUUGGUUUUGAUGAAGAGGUUGCUAGCCUGACACAUGUUCUUGCUUCUGAUGCUGCACAGAUCGUGGUAUGCCCGCUAAUCGACCUCUACGUCUUGAGCGUGUAAUGUAUUAUUGUAUACUUAGUUUACGUAUAUUUUUCCUACACAUUGCAGGGGAUAGGUACUAAUGCCCAAGUUGACAUUGACCUACCUCGCUCACUCGCUAAUCUGGUGGGGAGUACCUACACUUUCCAGCUCAGGUUAAAGGACUUCAAUUUUGGUCCAAAUCACCGAAGCUUUACCAUAUCUCGCAUAUUCCCCGCACGUGAUCUUGCGCCAAAGCCAACUUUUUUCUCAGGAGGGUGGCGAGGAUACCGAUCAAUCUCUCCCCCAAUCUGUGGCAACAUGAUUAGAUGUCAGAGCUGGUAUCGUAAACAAUGUUGCAGUUCAGCUCACCAAAGCUGAUGGUGACGUCUAGCACAUGAAGCAGUAGCAUCGGGUGAAGACGCUGGGGAAGCAACUGCACGUAAGAAAGCACGUGUGGAAUGAGUGCUAGCUUGGAACCCAAACAACCACGAUUAGACUAUGUCAUUCUCUGUUUUUUCAUAUCUGGAUUUGCUUUUUGUCCUUUAGUUUCUGUUUUUUUUUUAAGUCUUUGCUAUGUCGUUUUCCAAAUAUUUCUUAAUGAAAAACUAUGGGUCGUGGUUGUCCUAAUUGGCUAAUUCCUAUUUCUCAUGUGCCUAGCAUUAAUUAUAUUUUUCCUUAAUUUUAUCAUGGUUAUUAUUAUAGAUUCAGUUAUGUAAAGUUUGAACAAGCUAACUUCACCAAUGUAUGAACCAUCAUCCUUCAUUUUUUACGGAGUUCUAAUGUAAAAGCAUAUAUUAACCAAGUUAAAACAUUUGUUUACGUUAUGUUACAUGGUAAAUAAAAAACUAUUAAAAAGUCACCUCAAAUUGGGUGUUAAAUUUGGACUCUCUUUCCUCUUAGCACAUUGGGAAAAAUAACUACAAGUGAUUGGAAGAUCCAACUAAACUUAAAAUGAUGACAUCUAAUCACCUUGGCCAGCUACUUUACACGGCAUCAUUUAGGACCUAAUGACAUGUACUUAAUGGGGAUAAAUGUCCUAUUUAAGUUUAUAAAAAUUGGGUUUGUGCUAGGGGUUAUUCAUGUAUUUAAAAUUAAACAAAAUUUAGACUAAGUUUGCAUUGUAGAGUUAUAUAUUACAAAAUCAAAACAUUAAUAUAUAAUAAAUCCAUUACAAAAGUGACUUCAGAGUGGGUAUUUAAAUUUUCCUCCCUUUCCUCUUAUGUCAGUGGAAACAAUUAUUAAGAGUGAUCGAAAGAUCUAAGUGAAACAAAGAGGAAUGCAUGUAAAAACAUUGACCAUCGAAUUUCCACUGCUUCUUCCAAGACCUAAUGACAAGUACUUUAUGUGAAGAACAUUUGACAACAUUUAAGCUUUCACAUACUUAAUAUGUUCGUUCUCUCUUAUUACUAU